GAUGAACGCUGGCGGCGUGCCUAAUACAUGCAAGUCGAGCGAACAGACGAGGAGCUUGCCCCUCUGACGUUAGCGGCGGACGGGUGAGUCACACGUGGAUAACCCACCUAUAAGACUGGGAUAACUUCGGGAAACCGGAGCUAAUACCGGAUAAUAUAUUUAACCGCAUGGUUCAAUAGUGAAAGACGGCUUUGCUGUCCCUUAUAGAUGGAUCCACGCCGCAUUAGACAGUUGGUAAGGUAACGGCGUACCAAGGCGACGAUGCGUAGCCGAACUGAGAGGGUGGUCAGCCACACUGGAACUGAGACACGGUCCAGGCUCCUACGGGAGGCAGCAGUAGGGAAUCUUCCGCAAUGGGCGGAAGCCUGACGGAACAACGCCGCGUGAGUGAUGAAGGUCUUCGGAUCGUAAAACUCUGUUAUUAGGGAAGAACAAAUGUGUAAGUAACUAUGCACGUCUUGACGGUACCUAAUCAGAAAGCCACGGCUAACUACGUG
rnacentral:rRNA from 1 species